UCAAGUGAUCUGCCCGCCUCGGCCUCCCAAACUGCUAGGGUUGCAGGCAUGAGCCACCGUGCCCGGCUUAGGUGUCAGGAUUUCAACAUCUCUUUUUGGGAGACACAACUCAGCCCAUUCCCCUGCCCCACACAGGGGGGCGAUGCUCCUUUGCUCCGCAGCCUCCAGGCCCUUCUUUGAAGGCAGCAUCUCCUGCUCUGCAUGGGAAUGAAGCUCCCCGACUCUCCAGAACCCUUAGCCUUGCAAUUAUGUCUCUGACGCAUGUGUUGGGAGCCCCGGGAACACUGUGUGAAAGAGACGUGACGUUUCUGAAGCACGUCAGGUUUGAAUUUGCACCGCAACAGAGCAUGCCCUCUCAUGCUGUGUUGCCUAUUUCACUGCAGUCAACUAAGCCUGAAACUGAGGGCCUUUGAUGGUACCGGUGGGAAGGACAAAAGUCCUUCCAGUUUUAUUUGAAACAAUUGGUUUGGUUGGAAGUACCGAGGUGGGAAUUUGAGCAAGUGCAUACUCGUCCCAGUCUGUGGGGUGGAACAAGUGCACAGUGGCAUCUGAAUGGUGGUGAUGACUUGUAGGCAGCCACCAGCCCUCAUCUAUAAUAGGGGGUCAUGGCUGAGGGACAUCAGACGGGCCCAUGUGGGUUAGAAAGGGCUUCCUUCACCCUCCUGUAAUUAGAUAUUGACAUCACCCAGUGCAUGAGAAACAUGGAGUUUCCCCAAAUAUGAUUUAUACAAUAAGAACAAAGCCAGGGGACCCCAAAUUUAGUUUUUGUUUUGUCGCAGGCUUGCUGACCGAACUUAAGCACAUUUCCUAUUAAAACGGGAUCUCCAUUUUUGUGAAAAUAGUGAAAUUUGCUGCAUCAUGAUGUCUGCAAGGCAAUUAAUAGGUUGCUGAAUGCAAACUUCUGGCAGACCUCAAGUAAACAGCCAGGGGUGAUGAUGAGGAUGGCCACUCUCCAGCUUCGUCUCCACGGAAUACAGAAGUUUUAGGCUGGGACACAGGAUUUCAGUAAGAACAAGGCCAGACUUAGGAAUGGGUACUGUGGACUGGCUUGGUGGGAGCCCUGAGUGGAAGUUGAAAACUGGGGGAAGUGGAGGGGCUGCAGUAGAGUUGGGGGCCCGGGGCAUCUUUCAGGGUGUUGGGUUGGGAUGUGAAAUCUAGGGAGAAGGUAUUGGGGAAAUAUUUCUAGAGGUGGCUGGAUCUCAGGGGCAGAUUCCUCAUCUAGGGUUUAUGGUUGCAGGGGAGAUAGGUCCAGAGAGCUUGGGGGAGGGAAGGGCUGAGAGGAAUCUAACAAGUGGCUGGAUCUCAGGGCAGAUUCCUUAUCCUAGGGUAUACAGUUGCAGGGGAGAUAGGUCCAGAGGGCUUGGGGGAGGGAGGGGCUGGCAGGAAUCUAACAAGUGUCAGGUUCAAAGAGGUAAGGAAUCAAGAAAGCACUCAAUGUCACAGAGCUCUGGGCAGGAGGUCACAGCCAAGCCCACAGUCAGCGGGACCUGGGUGGAGUCCCAGAGAGUUAUACCAAACUACCUAAAUGUCUUUACUAAGUUUAGGGCUGGUCCUGGAAAUUGGGGUAGAGGGUUUGCGUGUGACUGCAGAGGAAGAUUUCAGAAAGACAGACAAUUGUCUUUUUCAGCCUCUGCUGGGGUGGCUCUGCUUCAUUUAUUUAGUAGAUUAUAGCAGAGGAGACCCAAACAUAAAGCUAAACCCAUCCCCACUACCUCAGAUUGACUAGAGUUGUUUUUUGCUCCUGCUGUUAUUGUUUUAGUUGUCUGAUUAUUUAUAUAAUCACAAGGCAAAUGUGUUAUUUUGGAAAAUGCUCUUGAAUGUAGAUGUUUAUACACUUCCAUGACAAAUUUAAAUGACUAUUGAUGAACAGGACUGAGGCUGAAAGGUGUUUUGUGAUAGGCUAUUAUCUGAAACUAGAAUGAACAAGCCCGUAGUUUUUUUUUUUAAAAUUAUUAUUUAUUUAUUUAUUUUUAUUUAUUACUGGCGAGUCCCCGGACGAUAUGGAACUUGUGGGGUCAUUUGCUACUUUUGUGCCCUUGUAUUGUCAGAACACGGCCAUGAGAUGGAAGCUGUGGUCAUUUAAAGGAAGUAACGGUAGGUUUGAAGAAAAAUUAUAGCAAUAACGACAGACUGUGGGGAACAUUCUCUUGCCUAUUGCUGUUUGAAGAGAAAAAGCCAUUUUUAUGGCUUUUGAAAAUUUGCUUCAUUCUGCCAGGAUUCAAACUAGACUAUUCUGAGGCCCUAAAGGUUCUAAAGCAAUUCUCAGGCAAAAUAGUUGGCAGCUUUUAGUAUAAAAAUUAUUUCAGUUUCACCAUGAAAAUAAAAUCAUGUGGACACAGUGUGUGGUUCCCGGAGCAGACAUUGAAGAUCUAGGCUUUUGACAUGAAUUGACUUUGGACAAAUCAUUUAAUCGCCUUAAGUCUCAGUUUUCUCAUCUGCAAGAUAGAAAAGUAUCUGCACUUUCUCCCUGUUACAGUGUUGGGGGUAAUGGAGACAGAGCUUGAACCCUGACGUGUAAUGCAAGUCAGGGUAGGAAUUAUCAGCACAAAGUAAAAAGUGAGAUUCCUCUCUUUUAUGCCUGUUCCCCUGCCUGUAUUUUAAUUAUAUUCACUCUAGAGUUUUGAUUGAAUAAUGCUGGUUUCUCCUUGUUUUACUACUUAAUUAAUUUAAAAUGUUGCCCUGGGUAAUAGCUCUGUAUCUAAAUGAGGGCUGUUAGAAGAGGAGGGAUUGUGUGUACAGAUGCUUGUAAAUAAUGCUUAGGUGACACUAUUGUGAUAAUUAUAGCUUUUUGAAGAUGAGCUUUAUAGCUAGUCCUCAAUUUUCCCGUCGCUUCUUUCGUGGGCUCUUCCACUUCAGGGAGCACAUUUGUUACGUGGAGCUAGCUGUUCGGGGAACUGAAUCCCCAGAGACGUCAGCAGCUCUGUGAAUCCACUUUUCAUGUUCCGUGCCUAACUUUGCAAAUCCUCAGAAGUACAGAAGAUUGCUCAACCGCCCCUCCCCAAACUCCUCACCGCUAGUAAGGAUGUGGAAUGAGUACGCACAGCAGAAAGAAGGGGCAUCACAUCUCCUAACCACUCCAGUUUUCAAUCCCCAGGAAUAGCCAUCCCUGGAUCCAAGAGACCCGGAAGUGAUGCUGGGUCCUUGCUGGCUAGAAGGGUCCUAGCGAUGACCCUUUAUGUGGGAUUUGCAUCUCACGACUGUCUUCCCACCCCUUUCUGUGCCUGUGCUCAGGGGGCGCUGAGUGCUAGAGCUGGCAUGAAAGAAAUAGGUACUGUGGCUGAUGAGUCCCCAACAGGCAUCUUCGAAAUUAACUCUUGGGACCCCCAGCCUUGUAGUGUUCCCAGGGGAGGAACCCAUUGUGUAUUUCCUGGUGUCGUUUUCCAGCUUACGUGUGUUCUCCAGCAUUUAGUUUUCAAGAGUCUUCGACAUUGGCUUCAUUGUCAUUGCUUUACUCACCAACUCAAUUAGAAUCUCAUUUCAGAUAGAAAUCAGCCAGUGAAUUUUGUUAAUGGAUCUUUUGGAAGCUUUUAGAGUCAGAACUGGAAAAGACCUUGGAAGGUCAUCUCAUCCAGCCCUCUCCCCUUGCAGAUGAGAACCUUGACACCCAAAGAAAUCAUGUGACUAGGCUAGUGAGUUAGUGUCAGAGUGGGGACUAGAACCCAGGGUUCUUUAAGUACCUCGUUGUAGGGCAACAUGGCGUGGUCAUAUUAAAGUAUGUGGAGUAGUGAAUACUUAGCAGGUGUACUCUCUUUCAGUUUACUCAGUUUAUUUUUGAUGCUAUUAUCACGGGAUCCUUGGGGAGUCACUUCGCCAGCCGGAAACCUCUGUGGCCAACAGCACCUUCUGCCUGAGUAUUGCUCGUGCCUGCUGGGCUCGUUCUGCCCACUUGGCCUGGCGAGCUGCGCUCAGUUCAUGCUACCGGCCCAGAUCCCACACCUGCCAAGGAUGAGCCAGGCAUGGAGUGAUGAGACUGUAUGGUGAGCGAGUGUGGGGUCCAGCCACUGUGCGCAGCCAGGCACACCCGGGGCUGCGGUGGGGCAGGCAGCUCCAGGCGCUGCCACAGGUGCUGGCUCCAUGCGAGGCUGCAGCUGCAUCAUAUGUACUGCAUGUGGCUUCCACUGCAGGCACCCACAUCUGGACGAGAACGCAGUGGCACCCAGAACGAAGUGGCACUUCCAACAUCCAGAAGGUUGGAGAUGCCAGGAACCGCAAAGCCCCAAAGAGGGUGUCACAGCCCUGGCUCGGGGAGCCCCUAAGUCUGGGCUGUGAAAUACACAGUCCUGGCCGUGCCUCCCCCACUACAGCUGGCGUCCCUGCAGUGGCUGCUCCAGACAGGCCACUUCUCCCAUCACUAUGAUAUCAUCAUCAUAAUGAAUUACAUGAACCAGAACUUCCUAAUUUUAUUCAACUUUUAAGGUUGACUCCUGGUAAACCAGAAUUCUCUUACAAUGACAUCCUUAUUGAAACGCUUUACAAAAUGCAUUUGUUUUAGUUUUCUGAAUUAGUGACCACAAUUGACUCUUUCUUAGAUAUUGGGGAAUCUUGCUGUCCUUCACCUCAUUCCUCCCACUGGUUAUAAUUGUGUAAGAUGAUAGCUUCAGAACAUGGCUUUGGCAUGAACACAAGCCAGCAGCUCCCUCUCCCCACCACCAUUAGCUUAUUUAAAAUAUCAUAUUUAGGUUGUUUGAAUUCUUCCACAUGACCUUUAAAAGCCCUAUUGCUGGUAUUUUAUAGUAUUUGAGACAGUCUAUGAGUUAUCUGUAGUUCAGGAAAGUCAGGUAACUUGCUGCUAUUAUACCAGUUGCAUUUUGAUGUGACAUUGAUUUUUUUCCACCCGCUAUUUUCACAUCAGGUUGAACACAGACAUAGGCGAAAUAUAAACCUGGCAGCGAGCUUUGCUUGGCUUGUUUACUUCUCUCGUUGGUAAAGUGGCCAUGAUUCAGCACUGGGUUCUUUUCUCCCUGAUGUGCUAGUGGAAGGAGAGAGAGAGGAAAUUCCAGGUUACCAGUAGCAGUAUGACCAUUAUAGUAGAAAACUGCAAAUUGUAGUCACUACCUUCUGAUUACCCCAGCUAAAAUAAUACCUCAUUCAAAAAACGACUAAAUGAGGCUCCAGAUACCACCUUCCAGCCCUCUUUAAUUCCCUCAGUUGAGAAAGAAGAAGAGGGGAAGAAACUAUGGAAAAUCAUUGAGAGGAUGGUUUCCUGUGUAAUUUUGAAUAGACUGUGUUGAACAUGGAAAACACUGGUGUUACCUAGUGUGCAUUUCCUUCAAGGCUGUUGCUGUGUGUAUGUCUUAGCAAGUUCAGAUUAUUUUGCACUCUCAAAACUGAAAGUUUGCUUUUUACCCCCAUAUACUUUCUUGCAUGACCAGUCUCUUAGAUUAUUGUGACAUUGUGGUCUGUAUAAUGAAUUCCUGCCUUGGUGGGCUCUCUGGUUCCUUUGAACCUUAGGGAAAGGCUUGGUUAGUUUUCCUUUGGUAUGCAUUGGCUGAGAAGCAGAGAUAACUGAGGGAAAGUAAAAACACUUCUUGUUAACUGUAUAGUGGAAGCUUGGGAAAGAAAAAAAUAUUGCAAACAUCACCUUAUCACGGGGAGUCAAUAAGCAGUGGCAGAAAGAAAGUGGGGCUUGGAGUUGUAAGAUUAGGUAUCAGCUUGGACCAUUUCCCUGUGUGGACCUGGGCAAGUCAUGCAACCCUCAGCCUGAGUUUUCUCAGUUGAAAAAUGGGCAGGUGCGCAGGGAGGAUGGGCACAGCAGGGGUGGCGAUAUUUGCCUUACUCUGUGGUGAAUAACGGACCCCAGAGAAGUCCUUGUCCUCAUCGUUGGAACCUCAUCCUUGGAACUUGUGAAUAUGUUACCUUACAUGGCAAAAGGGACUUCAAGGAAGUGAUUAGGUUAAGGAUCUUGAAAUGGUGAUGGAAGUGUGCAGCUAAGUUUGGGACUCACUGCAGAGGUAUUGUGUUUGCUGAAUAAGAUUAUAAAUCAGUUUCUCUUUGAAGACUGACAAUCUAGAUGUUCUUUUGAGUUUUGGGGGAAGUGGGUGGUCUGUUGCGGACUCUGUCUUAUCUCUUUCAAUGAUGUAUACAGUGAGCGAUGAUGUAAUUGUGGCAGGAAAUACGAAAGUAUUUGUUACCUAACACUCUUGAGUAUGUUCAGCACACAGGUUGGUAUGUCCUGGUGGCAAACACAUUUUCAAUCAGCCAACAUUUUUCUCCUCUUGUUGCCCAGAGGUUUUUUAAAAAGCAGUAGUGAGGGGAAAAAAAGGAAGAUGUCUAGGCCUUUUCCUCAAAUGGGUGAGUCCCUUGAGACUUGAGGAAUAUUGUUUUUACUUCUGUCUUAUGUCCUUAUGUUUCCAGUCUGGAGGAGAAAUAAUCAUAUUGGAAUGUUUUCCUUUGGAACCACUGUUUCUAGAAGCCACGGUUUUUGAAAAUUACCAUUGCUGCUGCCCUCGUCAUAUUCCUGGGUGUUUUGAGAGCAGAUGUGCCCCCUGGCUGGCUCUGGGCUACCUGUCACUGAGAGCGCCCUGGCCUUUGACAGUAGGUGAUGUCAUUUGCCUUAUAUAUGUCACAGGGAGGAUAUUAUAGAUAAAAUUGUUUUAAUAAGCCACAAGGUGCUCUGCAGAUGUCGUUGUUAUAUUUUCAAUGAGACUUCUAGGUUGAGGUUGGAAAGAUGAUAGAAAGCCUGUAGAAUAAGUUUAUUAUAUUCAUGUACUGCUGUAUAAGAACAGAUGGGGGUUGUUAUUUUCUAGUAUCCUAUGGUAUUGACCAAGUAGAGGCUCUAGUGCCACGUAACUUCUUACUGGUUAUUUAAGCAAUUGAGUUUAAUUUUCUCAACUAUAAAUGGAAACAUUAAUGCUUGGCUUUUUUAAGGUUGCCCUGGGUGAACUUGGGUGUCCAGACAGUCUGGAUUAUAUUGUCUCAGUUUAACCCUUGGCUCUGAAACUUACUGUCUGGGGGAUUUUCAGGUAGUUACUUCACUUAUGUGUACCUCCAUUUCCUCAUCUGUAGAAAAUGGGUAAAUAAGAUCCCCUUCCACAGGGCUGUCGUAAGGAUGAGAUAAGGCACGGGGAAAACUGGGCACCGUUCCUGAGCGUCUCACUGUAGCCUCACCUCUGAAGCUGGGGCAGCCCAGGCACUUGGGCAAGCGUUUUCUCCUCUUUUCCUUCUCCUCUCUUCAAUAAGCAUUUAUUGCACACCUACUACUGGUAGAAAUAUAGUAUAGAUGCAGUGUUUAUGCAAAGUGGACACCCUUGUGAAGGACUUCAGCGAUUUAAAGUUUGAUUU